rnacentral:rRNA from 1 species
GACGAACGCUGGCGGCGUGCUUAACACAUGCAAGUCGAACGAUGAUGCCCAGCUUGCUGGGUGGAUUAGUGGCGAACGGGUGAGUAACACGUGAGUAACCUGCCCCUGACUCUGGGAUAAGCGUUGGAAACGACGUCUAAUACUGGAUAUGACUGCCGGCCGCAUGGACUGGUGGUGGAAAGAUUUUUUGGUUGGGGAUGGACUCGCGGCCUAUCAGCUUGUUGGUGAGGUAAUGGCUCACCAAGGCGACGACGGGUAGCCGGCCUGAGAGGGUGACCGGCCACACUGGGACUGAGACACGGCCCAGACUCCUACGGGAGGCAGCAGUGGGGAAUAUUGCACAAUGGGCGAGAGCCUGAUGCAGCAACGCCGCGUGAGGGAUGACGGCCUUCGGGUUGUAAACCUCUUUUAGUAGGGAAGAAGCGUAAGUGACGGUACCUGCAGAAAAAGCACCGGUUAACUACGUGCCAGCCGCCGCCGUAA